rnacentral:sRNA from 1 species
UCCAUCGAUGGAAAUAUCGAUAGUAUCGAUGGACUUUCUUUUGUUAGAUAGGUCGAUGGAAUUUUCUCGAUGUCGAUAGAUCGCUGCAGACGCCAAGCCACAACACAUAGAUACCUAUUUACCACAUUAUUUAAUUGUUGACGGUUCCUCCACGGAAAAUGGAACAUUUUUUGAUCCCAUCUGAUAAAAGUGCUUCUUCGCCUGCAGACGCCAAUAAGGAAUCUUCAUUUGCUGUUACGGUACACACUGAAAAUAUUGCGCCUCCGAAUAAGCGAAAGAAAUUUGAGAAAUCUCAAGUAUGGAAGUUUUUUGAAAAAUGCCAAGAAAAAAACUUU